rnacentral:rRNA from 1 species
UGUAGCAGGUACCCAAUCGUGCUGUGCCGCAGCUAACGCGAUAGGCAAUCCGCCUGGGGAGUACGGUCGCAAGGCCGAAACUCAAAGGAAUUGACGGGGGCCCGCACAAGCGGUGGAGCAUGUGGUUCAAUUCGACGCAACGCGAAGAACCUUACCUGGGCUCGAAAUGUAGUGGACCGGGUUGGAAAUAUCCCUUCCCCGCAAGGGGCUGCUAUAUAGGUGCUGCAUGGCUGUCGUCAGCUCGUGUCGUGAGAUGUUGGGUUAAGUCCCGCAACGAGCGCAACCCUUAUCCCUAGUUGCCAUCGGGUCAAGCCGGGCACUCUAGUGAAACCGCCCCGGAUAACGGGGAGGAAGGUGGGGAUGACGUCAAGUCCUCAUGGCCUUUAUGUCCAGGGCUACACACGUGCUACAAUGGUCGGUACAAACCGUCGCAAACCCGCGAGGGGGAGCUAAUCGGAAAAAGCCGACCUCAGUUCGGAUUGGAGUCUGCAACUCGACUCCAUGAAGCUGGAAUCGCUAGUAAUCGCGGAUCAGAACGCCGCGGUGAAUACGUUCCCGGGCCUUGUACACACCGCCCGUCACAUCACGAAAGUGGGCCGUACUAGAAGCCGGUGUGCUAACCGCAAGGAGGCAGCCGUCCAAGGUACAGCUCAUGAUUGGGGUGAAGUCGUAACAAGGUAACCGUA